ensembl:lncRNA
UUUAAACCGCUUGUUGCUUCAUGGCAUGACCGACACCACAGAGUGUUUAUUAAUGCACUGCGUUCUGGAGCCACAGUGGACUCUCUGUUUCGCCCCCAAGCUGGUGAAAGGCGCUCGAUGUAACACGAACACAAAGCGCACCAGGCUUGCGCUUUGUGUUUUAUUUCCUUGUCGGAUGACGUCUCGGGGUCUACACAGACCUCGCUGAGUUCUCCGUCAUCCAGUCCGAGAGAGAUGUGAAUCACGGACGCGGAGAGAGUUCGUCCGUUCGUCACACGAUCUUCUCAUGGUCCUCGGGGUUCUCUGCCGUUCCGCGUCUUCUGUGAAGUAUGGACGCGAGACAGAACCGGCGUUCUAGCGUUUACGUGGAAAUAUGACGUGAACGGUUCAGUGGUCCCGAGACGGAAGAGUUACUGCAGUGGAAUAUGAAUGAAAAGGUUCCUCUUGGAUAUGGCACGGUUCUCCGGUUCUUGGAUCUGCUCUGUUGUCAGGUUCUACGUUGAAUCUGUCAAACUUUUUUUUCAAGAGUGCAGACGACUCGUUCUUGUGGAUGUCAGCGCUUCAAGUUCGGCGAUGUCGACUAGUCGAGUGUUGAUGUUGACGUGGGUGUGAAAGUCCGGCUAAGUGUCAUUUUGAUCAUACGGCGUCUUUUUGUAGUAAUGUUCCAGCACAUCCGUGAGAACGUGGUGAUUUCUCCCAGCGGUUUUAGCUCAGUUCUAGCUGGGGAGGUGUUUCCAACCUCAGGUUUAGCCUAUGAUGUCAUAGCAACAUGGCUGCUCAUAUCAUCAGCAGUAAAUAAAAAAGCUUCUAUAUCUAAUAGAGUAUUCGCUUUGAGAAGGAACAUCAUUAUUUAGUUAUAAGCACCAACGUUAGCUGGCUAGCCUGUUGCUCAGAAAAGACAAGCUGUAACUGAGGCGUCCAUGCCCCCCCCCCCCCCCCCCCCCAAAAUAUAGAUCAAACAAGGCGGAGCUCGGAAAGGGCGCCAUUUCCAAGUUACGGCUUUCCCCUUCCGGGUUAAAUCAGGUCUUCGUCUUUAGCUAAUAAUGUUUGUUGCACGUUUUUAAUAGUUUAAAAAGUUCUGUUCUCUCGGAUCUAAACGUCCAGCCUGAUCUUUGAGGAGGUCAUGCAGGUGCUCAAGGAGAAGAUCCGUUCCCCCCGCCGAACUCCUUUAUCUAUUAUCGUAACAGAGAAGUGUGAGGGACUGGAAGAACGUGUGCGGGUCAUGUUAGCGAGGGCGUCGUAAACACACAGCCGUUCCUAACGAUCUGUCCAAUUAGCAGCGUCCGUGCCCCAGUUGUUCACCGUAGCCGUGAAGAAGGUCGUUAAAAUCCUGAGCCGAGACGCGGCCACGCCGCAGAGCCACGUGCGGUCCGGCGGGUGAACGAGGAGGCGGCGGACAGUGACGGAUGGCGGCGAGGUGGUGAAUGGGUCGGGCUCAGGAGGUGGUAAGGGGGCGGGGUUUUGAGAAACCGCACCGUUACCGAGACCCAUAAAUGAACCACGAAUGCUUUUAUUUAUCUUUUUACCUUCUCCUUUCAUUUCUUUAUUUUCUCUGCCUUGCGCCUGGGAUUCGCUCCUCUCCGGAACCGUUCGGGUUCUCCCCGAAUUUCUCUGUUUUCGCUUGCAUUCCCACUCCUGUGGGGUUUUUUGUUGUUUUUUUUUGUCCUCGUGGGCCUCCUCUUGAAUCCGUGAGCAUGUAUUGAACAUAAAUGAAUCUUUCUGCUCACUUCUUUUAUUGUUGUUCUGCUUCCUUUUGGGAUUGAAGUGAAGGAGCUGCCUGUAUUCGACUCCUCAGGCGAUGGUGCUCGUCUGCCUUUGAGACUUUGCGUUAAGAAGAUCUUAGUGACUGCACCGUUCUUCGGAUCUUAAGUCUUGUCUGUGGCUCUGCGCCCGGCGUUUUCAUUUUCAUGACGGAAAAUAGGGCGGGCCGAGUCGAGGAAGGCGAGGCGAGUCGCGUCGUAUCGAAACGUGUCGUUCGCGGUCCCACCGGCCGGCCCGAUGUCACCUGGCACUACCUUGUUGGCUUACCUGAUGGUCAGGAUCUAGAACACGGUGACUAAGGAGUUCAAGUGCACUUACGUCAUGAAGAACCCCAAGCUGACUCGAUGCCUGUGUGUUAGACGUCAGUGCUUUGGACAGUAAGGGGACGGUUUAGGAUCUACUCUGUUGGAUAUUUAAAUUAUAGCGUAUAAGAUGUGCACGGUGUACAUCGCGACGUUGCCAAGACACUAGCGUAUACUAAAGACGUUAACCCCGGAGGUCUUAUUAAACAAGUAUUCCAUCACCACACCGGCUUUCACUCCUCAGAAACACCCUCCUACUGCCAGCGUGCUGCGUCUUCAGAAGUCAGCCACGUGGAGGUGCUUCAGAUUCAGAUCAGGUUUCUGAGACGUUAGAUUCAGACGUGACUCGGUAUCUUUCCUAAAUGCGAAGACAUCUACUACAAGUGUCAACAAAGACCAAAGUUGUGUCUUAAAAAAAAAAAAUUCAAAAAUUGAUA